UUUGCCCAGUUAUUGUGAAAGUCGCAGUUCACUUUUAUUUUUUUCAAUGUUUUGUUUUCCCCUUGUCGCACGCACACACACACAUAUGCACACAUAUAUAUUGACAGUUGACAAAAAACUGGCAACAUUUGCAUUUGGUGGCCCACUUGACAAUUCGCACUUGAAAAUCUUCAUGGCGAACGCAACGAGCGAAGGGGGCAAAACAUUUUUGCCAGAUUUUAUGAUCUCUGCAAGCGUGUGUGAGUGUAUGAGUGUGUGUGUUGGCUAAAAGCUUUCAAGCACAUACUCAUUGGCAGCGGCGGAGAAGAGGGAACCGAGGAGAAGGGAGGCAGGCUUGGAGGCAUUUUCGAAAUGUGCUCCCUUAUGUUAAUUAAGCUUCCACUUUUCCAGCGUCAACUAUUUAAAAGAAAACGCUGAGUGUUGCACUUCAGCUAAGCCAUAUGCAAGCGAAAAAGAGACAGCUCGGAAAAACGAGCGAGCCAGCGACAGUGAGUGAUGUGGUGAAGAGGUGAAUAGCGAGCGAACGAGAUGAAAGCCAGCAUCAAGCAGCAGCGUACAAUACAUCAGCAUCUGCAUCAGCUGACAUCGCGCAUACGACGCGUUGUCAGCGUGCAUUUGACAACGGCCUCAUUUGGCGGCAGCGACGGUAGCGGCGGCUUGUUGUUGUCAACAUCAGCCUCACAUCGUUGUUUCACAUAAUCAGUUUUGUUUAAUCUGCUUUUUAGCCAUGUGAGAUUAGCGCAUUAUUAUAGGAUUAAUGCACGUUUCGUGGAAAUACGCGAUAGAGGCAAACGUCGAGGGCGUCAUCUCUGAUGAGGACAGUUGUUGUCUGGUGGGCAAGUGGGCGACGGAAGCUGGCGGUGCAUAGAUAUACGAGUACUAUAGCGCAUAAAAGAUCAAAGGCCUUGAAUAAAGCAUCAAAUAACGAGCUCGCGAAGCAGCGGCAGCAGCAGCAAUCGAGGCAUGAUAAUGAAAACUGUUUCGCGCUGUCCCGCUCCCAAUUUGGCAAGUAAACAACGACCUUUUGGGUG